CUUGCUGUUGCCAUCCUUGGGUGGAACCUGUGUGGCAUUAGGUUGUCGUGCAGGGGAUGCCCAUCAUUUACUGUGAAAAAAUUAGAGUGUUCAAAGCAGGCUUAUGCCGUUGAAUAUAUUAGCAUGGAAUAAUGAGAUAGGACUUUUUUGCUAUUUUGUUGGUUUGCGCAAAGAGGUAAUGAUUAAUAGGGACAGUUGGGGGUAUUCGUAUUCCAUUGUCAGAGGUGAAAUUCUUGGAUUUUUGGAAGACGAACUACUGCGAAAGCAUUUACCAAGGAUGUUUUCAUUAAUCAAGAACGAAAGUUAGGGGAUCGAAGAUGAUUAGAUACCAUCGUAGUCUUAACCGUAAACUAUGCCGACUUGC
rnacentral:rRNA from 1 species